UGGUCUUGAACUCCCGACCUCAAGUGAUCCACCUGCCUCAGCCUCCCAAAGUGGUGUGAUAACAGGCAUAAGCCAUUGUGCCUGGCCAGCUUGUACACAUUAUCCCAUGGAUUUACAUGGGAAUACUGGAAUCAUCAAGGAAGAGAGCAUAUGGAUAGAGGAGGGGUUCAGGACCAAAUUAUAUUUUGAAUUGGAGAAGGAUGAGAGCAGCAAAGGAGACUAAAUAGGAGCAGUCAGCAGAUAGGGAGAAAACUAAGAGAAGAGACUUUCGAAGAGGGAAGAAGUGGUUUAUUCUUGAAUACUGCUGAGACAUUAGAUAAGAUGAAGGAUUAAUUUUCACUGCAUAUGUCAAUGUGAAAGUCACCGAUAUACUUGACAAGAGCCCUUUAGUGAUGACAUGAAAGUAAAAGUUAAGGAUGGAUUAAGUAGUAAGGAAGUGAGAAUAGCAUAACUAUUUUAAAAUUUUUGCCUAUAAAAGAAAAUAGAGAAAAGGUAGGGUUUUGUCUUGUUUUUUAAACUCUAGAUAUCAAUAUAUAUUUUAAAGGAAUGAACCCAUAGAUAGGAAGAAAGCAAUGUUGAAAAAGAAGUGAAGUCCUUGAGAAGGAGCAAAAGGGUGGAAUUCAGAUAACACGUGGAAGGAUGGCCCUUUGCUAAUAAGGCAGGACAUUAUGGUAGAGGCAAGACGAGUCAUAGAUAGGACCUUAGGUUCCAGGAAGAUAAAGAGAAGACAUUUCUAGCAGUUUCUGUUUUCCCAGUGAAGGACAUCUCAACUGAUAUCAUCAGCUGAAAGUGAGGAUACUGGAGGAGGUAUAGGAAAUUUAAGCAGAGAGGCACAAGUAUGAAGUAGUUGUCUUGGCCAGUGGGCUAGUCAGAGAUAUUUGGAUUGUGAGGCCUUAGUGGAGUGCCAAUAUGCAGUAUGCUUUAAAGUCAAAUCUCUGCAACCAAAUACCAGGUAUAGAGUUACAGCUGGUUAAUAAGACACAGCCUCUCUACUCAGGCAGUUUAUAAUUUAGAGAAUGAAAGACAUAUAGUUAAUUACAAUAUGGUACGAUGGUUGUGAUGAAAACGUAAAUAUAGGUUGUCGUAAGAGCACACAUUAACCAAUCUCGGAGGGGCUGUCCUGUGCUGGGAGGUCUUCAUGGAGACUAAUCAGCUAAGCCAAGACCUGCCUGCUCUGCAGACACCUUACUUAAAGCUAUUACAUCUUAGCGCCUGGGGAUAAAAAUAUUCUAGAAUGUAUGAUAGUCGCACUGUAUUAUUACAUCUUUACACAGCACCUUUUAUUUCUGCUCACAUCAUCCAGCAUCUUUGAAAUUUUUUUUAACACUCUGAAAUGCUGUGAGGAAAAGUAUCAUCCCUCUUUUUCCUCAUCUUCUUCUCUUCCCUAACACCUUUCUUCAGUUCCAGCUGUUGGUAGCUAUAAAUUUUACAAUAAUUUGUAGAUGUAACUUAAUAAUACCAUUCUGUUUUCAUUUGUCAUGUCGUGUAUCAUUUUCCAAAUAUAUAAACUUCAAUUUUGUGCUGCUACAAUCAGGAAUAUUUGAACAUUUAGUGCCUAUCUUGAAUAUCUGUCCUUAUUGCUUUCUGAGGAGCUGCGCUUUAUAGCAAUCAGGGUACUAUACCACUUGGAAAACUGUCUUUAAACAACAAUAAGAUCCUUGUGUAUAGAUUGCUGUCUUGAGUGGCUGGUUUGAAUCUAAUUCUCUGGUAUAUGAAGCAAAGGUUUAUUAUUUAACAUAGCUUCAAAAUUAAAAUUGAUAAUGAAAUUUUAUGUGCCAUGCAAUGCCAUGUGUGUUCUUUUAAGGUGAAGAUUCAAUUUUUAGCUGCUUUAUUGAGGUAUAAUUGACAUAUAAUAAACUGUACAUAUUUAACUCCACAUUUUGAUAUGUGUGUGUAUAUAUAUAUGUAUAUACUUAUAUAUGUAAAAUUGUCACCAUAGUCAAAAUAAUUAACAUGCCCAUCAGUCUCAAAAGUUUUGUUUCUCACGAACCUUUGUAAUUUUUCCUGCCCUCUCUUUGUUCUGUCACCAGGCAACUGAUCUUUUUUCUGUUACUACAAAUUAGUUUAUAGUUUUAAAAAUUAUAUAUAAAAGGAUCAUAAUUAUAUAUAUUUCCUUCCAGCAGAAUUAUUUUGAGAUUAAUCCUGCUGUUGCUUGUAUCAGUAGUUCAUUUCUUUACUAAUACUCUGGUGUAGGGAUAAAGCACAAUUUACUUAUAUAUUCACCCUCUACUGUUAGCUACUACAAACAAAGCAACCGUGAAUAUUUGUGUCGAAGUCUCUGUAGGAACAUAUGCACUCACUUCUCUUGCGUAAAUACCUAGGAGUGGAAUGGCUGGGUUAUACAGUAGGCAUAUGUUUAGCUUUUUUUGAGAAACUGCUAAACUACUUUCCAAAGUGGUUGUGCCAUUUUAUAUUCCCACCAGUGGGAAUAAGAGUUCCAGUGCCUCCACAUCCUUGGCAACACUUGAUACAGCCUUUCUUUUUAAUUUUAGCUAUUCUAGUAGAGAUGUGUAGUGGUAUCUCACUGUGGUUUUAAUUUGCAUUUCCCUAAUGACUAUUAAUUUUGACCAUCUUUUUAUGUACUUAUUUGCCAUGCAUAAAUCUUUGGUGAAAGGUCUGUUCAAAUCUUUCCCCAUUUUUUAUUAGGUUAUUUUCUAAUGAUUAAGAUUUCAUUUUAACGAUUUUGUGUGUAUGUGUGUAUGUGUGUGUGUUGUUUUGUUUAGCAGCUUAGAACAACACACAUUUAUUAUCUCAGUUUCUGUGGGUCAGAAGUCCAGGCAUAGAUUUGCUGGGUCUUCUACUCCAGGGUUUCAUCUUAAUCACAGUCUUGGCCAGGGCUGCAGUCACAUCUCAGGGUUUUACUGGGGAAGGUUCCAAUCAUAAGUUCACAUGAUUGUUGGUAGAAUUCAGCUCCUUGUGGGAUGCCAUACUGAGGGUCUCAGUUAUUUGCUUAGCUGGCGAUUACCCUCAGUUCCUGCCACAUGGGCCUCUUGAUAUGGCAGCUCACAACAUGGCAACUUACUUCAUGAAAGCCAGCAAGUGUUUAUGUUUACUGGUUUAUUAUGAUUAGCAAAGGAUAUUAUGAAUAUUCCGAUGGAAGAGAUACAUAGUGCAAGCUAUGUGGAAGGGGUAUGGAACUUCCAUACCCCUCCAAGUAGGCUACCUUCUAGCCACCUCCUCAUGUUCAGCAAUCAGGAAGCUUUGCGAGUUCUUUAUAUAUUCUAUAUACAAGUCCUUUAUCAAAUACAUGACUUAUAAAUAUUUUUUCUCAAUUUGUUGCUUGUAUUUAAAUUUCCUUAUUAGUGUUUUUCAAAGGGCAGAAAUUCUUAAUUUUGAUGAAGUCCAAUAUGUCAGCUUUUUAUUUUAUGGACUGUGCUUCUGUGGUUUUAAGAAAUAUUUGCCUAACUAAAAGUCACAAAUAUUUUCUCAUAUGUUUUUUUCUAAAAGUCUUACAAUUUUAGGUUUUACAUUUAGGCAUAUGAUCCAUUUUGAAUUAAUUUUUGUAUAUGUACAAGGUGUAUGUAAAGUUCAUUUUGUGUUGUGGAUAUCCAGUAUUGUAUGAUCUUCAGUGCUGUGUUUUCAUCUAAUCGCUUUUAAAGGAAGAAUUAAAGCAAAGCCAAGUUAAAUCGGUUCUACCACACUGUCAGUUUUCUUUGUGUUAUCCUUGACAUUGUUAGGUUGCACAUUUUGCUGGAACUUCUUAAAACAGUAUCCUAUGAUUGAACUUCUUCAACCUCAAAUUUCCAGUCUUUAUACUUAACCAAUGAAAUGUUAUUUAUAUAUUCUUUGGAAACAUAAUAUAUACUGUAGAUAAUUACAGCAAAAGUGUAAUGGGUAGCAGAAGAUAUUGCCAAACCAAAAUUCUGGAGACCAGAUGAGACAAACACAUAAUAUGUGCCUGAAUAGAACACAGUGCUAGGAAAUACACUGAAAAGUGAAAGAAGAACUAAAAAUAAGCCUCUUAUAAGAAGAACUGAUACCUCUGGGCUAAUCUAUUGGUAGUUUGUUUUCCUUAAUUUGGUAAAGAAGAGCUUUGGAAUCAGACUCUAGAAUGAAUCUUUUAAAACUAUAUAUAUAUUAUAUAUUAUGCAUGUAUACACAUAUACAUAUUCUGUACAUUGGCUUAAAGAAUAUAGAAACAGCACAUGAAUAGUUUAUGCUGUAGUAUUGUACAGGCUUAUUCAGAAAUAAGAAAAAAAGUUUUUCCGCUCAGCUGUGAGUCAUUACUUUUUAGUUUAGUGGAGAAAAUAACUUUUAGGGUGGUCAAUACUGCAUUAUUUUUGUUUUUGUUUUUAGAAAAUCAGGUAGCAUGGGCUUUGGAAUCAGACAAAUCUCAGUUUUAAUUUUCAAUGUCCUUAACUCUAAUAUAGUAAUAUUAAUAAUUCUUCCUGGGUUGUUGGGAGGUUUAAAUGAAAUAAUAAGUACUGGCAUAGUACUUAACACAUAGUAGUUAUUCAAGAUAUGUAUAUUUCUUUAUCAUCAGGGGGUUGACCUUGGAAGCAUAUGGCUGCAUAGAAAGAACCCAUAAAUGGAUACGACAAGGGGAGAGGAGUUUUUGUGAGAUUUAGCAAAAUCAUUUUUUCCCCCGACACCCCAGAAAUGUUCAUUUUAAUGCUAUUAUUUUCCUUAUCACCCAUAAACAGACAGAAAAUUAGCAUGUUUUGAAAGAGUGUUAAAACUGCAAGAGUGUUGCAUUACAUUGCCACCCAUUAUCUAACUGGGUUUAUUUAUGAAGGUUAGAUUUAGAUAAUUUAAACUUACCCUUUUAUCAUUUUGUGAGGAAAGAGAAUCAAACUUGAAGAGCUCUUCCAAACAGAAAGAUAGCUAGAAUCUCCCUCCAUAGUCUCUAUAAUCUCUUCUAAUAAUCUUUAGCAAAAGUGACUCUUGAGUUCUUUUAAAUAUUUCCUGUAUUGGUUCUAAUUCAAUGUUCAUUUCAUAUGAUGUCUAUAGAACUAGAGACUUAGACUACAGUCAGAAAACUGAGUAACAGCAGGCACCAGGUUUUCAACUGUUUUUAGGGUUUACUCAAAUUGAUUGCAUCACAUUCAUUUGGAUGGAUUUAGUGACAUCAGCUGAUAAUUUAAAGAAACUAGCCUUUAGUCUGACAGUUUCAUAUUGAUAUUAGAUAGGAGCCACAUGACUAUUUCAUGGAUUCAUUCAUAAGAUAUAAUAAGCAUUAUUUUCACUUGUAGCAUAAAAGCAGUCUUUAUUAUUUUCUUAGAAGCAUAAACACAUACACACACACAUAUAGUCAUAUAUAGAUUUAAAAAAUUCUAUCGGCAUAGGUUCUGUAAUUGUUAAUAAAUGUAAUUUAUUAACAAAUAAUAUAUGUAU